rnacentral:rRNA from 1 species
AUGAACGCUAGCUACAGGCUUAACACAUGCAAGUCGAGGGGCAGCAUUUUAGUUUGCUUGCAAACUAAAGAUGGCGACCGGCGCACGGGUGAGUAACACGUAUCCAACCUGCCGAUAACUCGGGGAUAGCCUUUCGAAAGAAAGAUUAAUAUCCGAUAGUAUAUUAAAACCGCAUGGUUUUACUAUUAAAGAAUUUCGGUUAUCGAUGGGGAUGCGUUCCAUUAGUUUGUUGGCGGGGUAACGGCCCACCAAGACUACGAUGGAUAGGGGUUCUGAGAGGAAGGUCCCCCACAUUGGAACUGAGACACGGUCCAAACUCCUACGGGAGGCAGCAGUGAGGAAUAUUGGUCAAUGGACGAGAGUCUGAACCAGCCAAGUAGCGUGAAGGAUGACUGCCCUAUGGGUUGUAAACUUCUUUUAUAUGGGAAUAAAGUAUUCCACGUGUGGAAUUUUGUAUGUACCAUAUGAAUAAGGAUCGGCUAACUCCGUGCCAGCAGCCGCGGUAAUACGGAGGAUCCGAGCGUUAUCCGGAUUUAUUGGGUUUAAAGGGAGCGUAGGUGGAUUGUUAAGUCAGUUGUGAAAGUUUGCGGCUCAACCGUAAAAUUGCAGUUGAAACUGGCAGUCUUGAGUACAGUAGAGGUGGGCGGAAUUCGUGGUGUAGCGGUGAAAUGCUUAGAUAUCACGAAGAACUCCGAUUGCGAAGGCAGCUCACUAGACUGCAACUGACACUGAUGCUCGAAAGUGUGGGUAUCAAACAGGAUUAGAUACCCUGGUAGUCCACACAGUAAACGAUGAAUACUCGCUGUUUGCGAUAUACAGUAAGCGGCCAAGCGAAAGCAUUAAGUAUUCCACCUGGGGAGUACGCCGGCAACGGUGAAACUCAAAGGAAUUGACGGGGGCCCGCACAAGCGGAGGAACAUGUGGUUUAAUUCGAUGAUACGCGAGGAACCUUACCCGGGCUUAAAUUGCAUUUGAAUAAUCUGGAAACAGGUUAGCCGCAAGGCAAAUGUGAAGGUGCUGCAUGGUUGUCGUCAGCUCGUGCCGUGAGGUGUCGGCUUAAGUGCCAUAACGAGCGCAACCCUUAUCUUUAGUUACUAACAGGUUAUGCUGAGGACUCUAGAGAGACUGCCGUCGUAAGAUGUGAGGAAGGUGGGGAUGACGUCAAAUCAGCACGGCCCUUACGUCCGGGGCUACACACGUGUUACAAUGGGGGGUACAGAAGGCAGCUACCUGGCGACAGGAUGCUAAUCCCAAAAACCUCUCUCAGUUCGGAUCGAAGUCUGCAACCCGACUUCGUGAAGCUGGAUUCGCUAGUAAUCGCGCAUCAGCCAUGGCGCGGUGAAUACGUUCCCGGGCCUUGUACACACCGCCCGUCAAGCCAUGAAAGCCGGGGGUACCUGAAGUACGUAACCGCAAGGAGCGUCCUAGGGUAAAACUGGUAAUUGGGGCU